AACACAUGCAAGUCGAACGAGAAAGUGGAGCAAUCCAUGAGUAAAGUGGCGUACGGGUGAGUAACACGUGGAUAAUCUACCCUCUAGUGGGGAAUACCGCUGGGAAACCGGCGACAAUACCGCAUAAGCUCGAGAGAGGAAAGCAGCAAUGCGCUGGAGGAGGAGUCCGCGGUCGAUUAGUUAGUUGGCGGGGUAAAGGCCCACCAAGACUGUGAUCGAUAGCCGGCCUGAGAGGGCACACGGCCACACUGGCACUGAAACACGGGCCAGACUCCUACGGGAGGCAGCAGUGGGGAAUCUUGCACAAUGGGGGAAACCCUGAUGCAGCGACGCCGCGUGAGCGAUGAAGCCCCUCGGGGUGUAAAGCUCUUUCGGCAGGGAAGAUUAUGACGGUACCUGCAAAAGCAGCUGCGGCUAACUA
rnacentral:rRNA from 1 species